GCUUCUGUUACUGUACAUGACUUUUUUGUGUGUUGUUGUUUUUUUUUUUAACAGAUGUACUUUUGUUUAAAUUAUAAUUAUUGGGGUGCCUGGGUGGCUCAGUUGGGUGUCCCAAGUCUUGGGUUUGGCUCAGGUCAUGAUCUCAUGGGUUGUGGGUCAAGCCUUUCGUGGGGCUCCCUCCACACUCAGUGGAAGUGUGCCUGAGAUUCUCUCCCUCUGCUCCCCCCAUGUGUGCCUACUUUCUCUCUCUAAAUAAAUCUAUAAAAAAGAGAUACAUCGUCUUAGUUCUACACUGUUAGGCUUGUUAAAUGUUGAAGUUCCAAUAACUGACUACAUUCUUAAUUUUUUUUUUUUUUAGAACUUUAAUGGAAAAUUUCAAACAUAAAAGAACAGUGUGAUAAACCCCCAGGCUUCAUUCACAUUCAGGAAUUCCCACCUCAGGGCUUACACCAUUUCUUCAAUACCUUUCUUCUAACUCUUGAGGCAAAUUGUAGACAUCCUAUAGUUUAAUUAGUAAAUAUUUCAGUGUAUGUCUUUAAAGGAGAAGUAUUCCUUGUAAACAUAACCCUAGGGGCCCCUGGGUGGCUCAGUCAUUAAUCAUCCACCUUCAGCUCAGGCCAUGAUCCCGGAGUCCUGGGAUCAAGCCCCACAUACGGGGCCCCCUGCUUGACGGGAAGCUUGCUUCUCCCUCUCCUACUCCCCUUGCUGUGUUCCUGCUCUUGCUGCAUCUCUUUCUGUCAGAUCUUUAGGAUUUGAUUUGAUAAGAUUUGAUAAAAUCUUUAGGAAAAAACAACAACAACAGUGUAACCCCAGAAGUAUUAUUUUCGUGAUAUUUUGCACAUCCAUGGUUUUAUAGACAUGCCACGUUCUUAUCAAGAAUACUAGGUAGUGAGUAAAGGUUGGCAAGUGUCUUCAAUGUUUGUAGUAUGAUUCAUCUCAAGGAGGGUUGGAAACAGACUGGUCUGAACAGAAAGCCACAGAGAUUGCUUCUACCUUCUGCACAGAAGCGCAUUCUUCACCCCAUUCCCUUACUUCGAUGGACACAGCUCAGAGAGGCCGCCCUCAUUUAUUUUAUAAGCUCAUUAUCAGUCAACUUAGGAAACAAUGCUGUCUGAUUUGUAGGUCUUUGACCUGUUAACGUCAAUCCUGUGGCACAGGCUUUUAGCCCUUGGCGCUCUUUCUGGAAAAUUCCAGAACUAUAUAAAAGCCAUUUCUAAAAUCCCGAUAGACAUGUUUUGCCAAGAAUGUCAGUUAUCUCUUGACAGUUUGGCAUUAACCUUUAAAUAUUAGAUUGUGUAAUCAUAAUGCCAUUGAGGGAAAAUAAGGUGGUGGGUGGCUGGCAUUUUAAAAGUGAAACGAGCUUGGGUUCCCGUGAAUGUUAAUCAUUAUUAUACUGAAAAUGCUGAGAGUCCUGAAGAGUGAAAUGCUUAGUAAGUAAAAAGCAGUAUUUUGCGAAUAACUUAGAUCAUAGGUAAGUAAAACAUGGCUUCAUGGGUUUAUUUGACAUAUGUUUACCGGAACAGUAUCUGAGGGGUAUUUUCUGUGUUCGAGCUUUGUAACUGAGAGGCGAAUCAAGAAACCUUCUAGUGCGUUCCCGCCAGCCUACUAGCCUGACCAGCACGUCUCAGAAAUAGAUAAUUAUUUUUGUCAUUGUAACCUGCCUUCUCAUUUGCCUUCCUUGCCCUUGAGUUUGCAACAGAGGAGAAAGAAACCCGUGGCCUCUACCAUAAAUACACAUGGUUACAGCAGUCAAGUAAUUGCAUAUUUUUUGUGGGCAAGUCAUUCAUUCGUGGUGAUGAAAUGGCUUAUUUUUAAUGCAGUUUUCUUUCAACUAAACUUAAAUUCUUUGUUUCCAUUUGAUUCAGUGGUCUGUACCAUUCUAAGGCACUAUAAAUUUAGCACAGCUUCUUCAUUUUACCAACUUGGUAGGAGUUUUAAAGGUUUCAUUCAGUUCAGUUUUAGUUUUCAAACAAAAUGGACUAUAAGAAUUCUUCAAUUUACAGUAUAAUGUGUAAUUAAAGACAGACCCAGUAUAUCUGACAGGAGUGUUGUACCAGGGAUCGUGGGAAAGGGGAGGUUUGGAGCAUUACUUCUAAUCUCAUUUUAACAUGACUGUUGGGAAAGGAGAAUUUCUUUGGAAAGUAGAUAAAAGCAUAGACUGACUCUCGGAUCACAAAAUGGAAGAAACCCAGAUUUAUUGCAUACCUGUCAAGGAUAGAAAUAUCUUAAGUUUUCUGGAAAAGACAUCCAUGUGGAUAACUUAUAACUUUAAAUGAUUAAUUAAGAGUAAUUGCUGUCCACUAAUGCUAUUCAUAGCAGAUUGGUUCUAAUGAGGAAUGUUGCUUCUAUAGAUAUUUAGGUUAUAGAAUUAGUUUAUGACUUCUUUUGAUAAACUCUCUGAAUCCUCUACCUUACUCUGUUCUUUUCAUUUUCCUUGUGAAUUUAUUUGGUUUUGUUUAAUGACGGGGAUAUCUUUACCUGUAUUACUUUAUUCAGUUACCUAUUUCUGGAUAUCUCAAGUUGAGCAGAAACGUACAUUAGAGGAGCUGUGGGUAUGGAGCAGGCACCAGUAAACACUAGUGGAUAUAGUGGCAGCCUGUUGUAUAAAAUCGCUAAUAACCCAUUAAAUCAGUUCCUUUUAAUAAAUAUUUAAUUUCCAUUUUUAAAUGUCACAUAUUCCAGUAAACAUAUUUGCACAUUUCAGAUAUACUUUUGUCUUUCUAGUGAACAUUUUGUUAAACAGUAGCAUAUACAUGAAAAGUCCACAAAUCUUUGUAGCUCAGUGAUAAGUGGAACAAAUGUUUAAUCAGCACCGGAGAAGUCCCCCUUGAACCACUUGAAAUGAUUGCUGUCCCCACUAGAGUGACUACUAUCCUAAUUCCUAACACCAUUGAUUCAUUUAGCUUGUUUGAAAUGUGUAGCGAAGGAAUCACAUUGCAUGUGCUCUUUGGUACCUGGUUUCUUUCACUGUAAUAUCUGGGAGACUCAUACACUCAAAUGUUGGAAUUCAUUUUUUAUUGCUGUGCAGUAUUCUGCUGGGUGACAAUCAUAGUUUAUCUUUUUUAUUGACAAGCCUUUGGGUUGUAACCUAAAUUUUGGAUAUUCCAAAUCGUGCUGUGAGCAUUCUGAAACCUCUGUGUUGGUGGUCAUCGCUAUAUGGCUCUCUAGUGGGAGGAAUGCUCUUGGGCGUAGGGUGUAUGUAUGUGUACUUAACAUGCCCACAGUUUUCCAAAGUGGUUGAAACUGUAUCACGCUCCCACCAGCAGUGUCUGGUUAUUUUUUAAAAAAUAAACUUCAUAAAAGUGAAAUUUGAAUAAAAGAAUAAAUUUAUUUUGAGUUUUGGAACACAGUGCUAAAUUUAUCCUCAGGAAUGUGAAUUUAUACUCCACUGAACACUAGGUUUUCAUCAGCCCUUUCAUUUUUUUUCUUUCUUUUUUUUUUAGCCCUUUCAUUUUCAUAGUGAAAAAUGUCUAAUUUUUAAACUAAAGAGUUGAACUUUUUUAAAACUUAAUUUUGCUCAUUCAGUUUUCUUGGCUGUCCUGGUCUUUCUCUGUCAAGGGGUUUCUAAUUUUUCUUUUUUUCUUUUCCUUCUUUUUCUUCUCCCAAGGGGGCAGGGGGAGGAGCAAAGCAGGGAGAGAAAGAGAACCAGGGAGAAGGGCAGGCGAGAAUUCUACCACUGAACCACCCAUGCAAGAACCAGGGAGAAGGGGAAGAGAAAGAGAGAGAGAGAGAUAGAGAGUCUUAAACAGGCUCCGUGCCCAGACUCUGAGCCCGUGGGCUCCAUCUCAAAAUCCUGAGAUCAUGACCUGCGCUGUGAUCAGGAGUCAGACACUUAACUGACUGAACCACCCAGGUGCCCCUUUAAUUUUGCUUACUGCUUUGUAAUAACCUUUUAUAUUGUAAUCUACAUUUUUUGGUCAUAUGCUAUAAUUUUUUUCUUCCUAGUUUUAAUCUUGUCAUUUACAAUAUAAAAGUUUUAAAUGUUCGUGUGUGCUUAUAUCUGCUCAUCUUUUCCUCUCUGGUUUCUGACUUUGGUGUUACUCUUAGGGAAGUCUUUUCACCCCAAGAUGAUUUUCUAAAAAGUCUGUUUUCUUCAAGGGUUUUAUUGUUUAUAUUUAAUUUUGUCUAUUGUAACUAGAUUUAACUUGUAACUCAAGGUGCUUUUUGUUUGUUUUAAAACAAAUUUUAACCGGUUAAUACUUUGGAAUAUUUUGCCAUGUCAGAGGGUGACUGGUCCAGAAGAGUUUUGUACACCAAUGCAUGCAUGUUUGUGUCAUUUGACCAAGUGAGAAAUAAAGUGUAUUUUCCAGGGCGGA